GCACCAGUGGCGCAAUCGGUUAGCGUGUGGUACUUAUAAUGCUGAGGUUGUGAGUUCAAGCCUCACCUGGUGCA